GCGCCUAACACAUGCAAGUCGAACGAGCGAGAUAAAGCUUGCUUUCUCAAGCGAGUGGCGAACGGGUGAGUAACGCGUGAGGAACCUGCCUCAAAGAGGGGGACAACAGUUGGAAACGACUGCUAAUACCGCAUAAGCCCACGACCCGGCAUCGGGUAGGGGGAAAAGGAGCAAUCCGCUUUGAGAUGGCCUCGCGUCCGAUUAGCUAGUUGGUGAGGUAAUGGCCCACCAAGGCGACGAUCGGUAGCCGGACUGAGAGGUUGAACGGCCACAUUGGGACUGAGACACGGCCCAGACUCCUACGGGAGGCAGCAGUGGGGAAUAUUGCACAAUGGGGGAAACCCUGAUGCAGCGACGCCGCGUGGAGGAAGAAGGUCUUCGGAUUGUAAACUCCUGUUGUUGAGGAAGAUAAUGACGGUACUCAACAAGGAAGUGACGGCUAACUACGUGCCAGCAGCCGCGGUAAAACGUAGGUCACAAGCGUUGUCCGGAAUUACUGGGUGUAAAGGGAGCGCAGGCGGGAAGACAAGUUGGAAGUGAAAUCCAUGGGCUCAACCCAUGAACUGCUUUCAAAACUGUUUUUCUUGAGUAGUGCAGAGGUAGGCGGAAUUCCCGGUGUAGCGGUGGAAUGCGUAGAUAUCGGGAGGAACACCAGUGGCGAAGGCGGCCUACUGGGCACCAACUGACGCUAAGGCUCGAAAGUGUGGGUAGCAAACAGGAUUAGAUACCCUGGUAGUCCACACUGUAAACGAUGAUUACUAGGUGUUGGAGGAUUGACCCCUUCAGUGCCGCAGUUAACACAUUAAGUAAUCCACCUGGGGAGUACGA
rnacentral:rRNA from 1 species